rnacentral:rRNA from 1 species
GAUGAACGCUAGCUACAGGCUUAACACAUGCAAGUCGAGCGGUGCAGUUUGAAGCUUCGGUGGAAAGCUGCAUAGCGGCGGACGGGUGAGGAAAACGUAGGAACGUGCCCCUUGGAGUUGGAUAGCCACGGGAAACUGUGGGUAAACCGACAUAGACUCGAGAGAGUAAAGGCCGAAAGGCGCCAAGGGAGCGGCCUGCGGCCCAUCAGGUAGUUGGUAGUGUAAAGGACUACCAAGCCGACGACGGGUAGCCGGUCUGAGAGGAUGGCCGGCCACAAGGGCACUGAGAGACGGGCCCUACUCCUACGGGAGGCAGCAGUGGGGGAUUUUGGACAAUGGGCGAAAGCCUGAUCCAGCGACGCCGCGUGGAGGACGAAGCCCUUCGGGGUGUAAAGCGCUUUUUAAAGGGAUGAGGAAGGACAGUACCUUUAGAAUAAGCCUCGGCUAACUACGUG